rnacentral:misc_RNA from 1 species
GAUGAAGAACGUAGCGAAAUGCGAUAAGUAGUGUGAAUUGCAGAAUUCAGUGAAUCCUCGAAUCUUUGAACGCACAUUGCGCCCCUUGGUAUUCCAUGGGGCAUGCCUGUUCGAGCGUCAUUUGUACCUUCAAGCUCUGCUUGGUGUUGGGUGUUUGUCUCGCCUCUGCGUGUAGACUCGCCUCAAAACAAUUGGCAGCCGGCGUAUUGAUUUCGGAGCGCAGUACAUCUCGCGCUUUGCACUCAUAACGACGACGUCCAAAAGUACAUUUUUACACUCUUGACCUCGGAUCAGGUAGGGAUACCCGCUGAACUUAAGCAUAUCAAUAAGCGGAGGA